rnacentral:tRNA from 1 species
GGGUCUGUGGCCUAAUGGAUAAUGCGUCGGACUUCAGAUCCGAUAACUGCAGGUUCGAGUCCUGUCAGGGUUG